AAGGUUGUUCCAACAAGUCCGAUACAGUCAUGAUAUAACAAUAUUGUUGUUGGCUGUAACAAAUAUAAGGUUGUAACCUUGUGUGCUCAACCUUGUAACAUUCUUGUUAUAUCAUGACUGUAUCAGACUUGUUAGAACAACCUU